GUAGCUAUAGUUUAACAAAAACAUCAGAUUGUGAGUCUAAUGAUAGAAGCUUACGACUUCUUAGCUACC
rnacentral:tRNA from 1 species